CCAUGUUACCUCCUAAGGCAGUGGUGUCAGACUCAUUUCCACCAGGGGGCCACAUCACCCUUGAGGUUGCCUUCACAGGGCCGAAUGUAAUUUCAACUCCUUAACAGUUAAGGAGUAGUUACAUUUACACAGUCCUAAAAUUAUUUU